UUAGCCUCGCCUCUUCAUUACUCCAAUCUCAUUUCAGCCGCGCCUCCUUCACUAACUCAGCCUCUUCUUUUCACCUCUUCGGUCUUCUCCUCUUGCCCCUGUGAGUCUGUGACACUCUUCGCCUCUGUCUUCCUCUCGCCUCCCAAUCUCUCGCUUCUCAAUCUAACACCUCUCAACGAUCGUUCACCAGAUUCGAAGCAACGGCGACCUCUGCGUAUCGAAGCAACGGCGACCUCUUUGACUGGAUCUACCUCUUUUCCGGGUUAGCAUCGGGCAUUAACAUUUAGGAAGAAUAAGGUUCAAGAAACAUGCCUCCUCAGUCAUCGGGUUACUUUUUUGAAAGAAGAGAGUUGAUGGGAAUGGGUGGAAUGGGCAAAAAGAAAAUAGGAUGUUUUUUUUGCCUAUCUAAUUGAGUUAUAUAAAUCCCCUUACCAUUGUAGCAGCGAUGUUGGUUUUAAAAUGACCAAUUAUGAUACGAAGUCUCUUUUCAAUUAUCUUAAUCAAAUGUAUAUCUAUGCAAGAGGAUUAUGUGAUUCUAGAUGACGAUUCUAGAUGAGGAUGUUAAUGUUAACGUUAUGAGGAUGUUGAUGUCAACGUUAACUCUAUCGCACUCCAUCGUGCCAGUACUCAUCCGCACUCGGAUCAUUCAAACUUUUGCAAUUGCUUGUGCUAACACUGACUAGCACUUGCUCAUGUUUAUCACUUACGUUGUGAUGUCUCACGCCAUCCACCAAGAUCGAACACUCACUCGUAUUCGAACUCUCGCACCCACGCGUGCCAACAAUCACUAGCACUUGCUUAUGCCUAUAACUUAUGUUAUAGUGCCUAUCACCAUCCUCUUGGCUUGCACACUUUUACACACUUUAACUAUUGCACUCGCUCUAACGUGCCCGCACAUUCUUACUUGUGUAUAUCAUUUUGCGUUAUAGUGUCUCUCGCCAUCUACUUGGCUUGCACACUCUUUGACACUUGAACUCUUGCACUCAUUAGUAACCCUGGCAUCGCUCCAGGUUACCAAACCCUGGAAUUACUCUGGGUCAUCAAGCCCUGGUAUCGCACUAGGUCACCAAACCAUGGUACUGCACUAGGUCACCCAACUAUGGUCUCGCUUCGGCUUACCAAACCCUGGUAUCACUCCUGGUCAUCAAGCCUUGGUGUCACACCAAGCCUUGGUGUUACGUAUACUUGCUUAGGGAAUUUCAGGGGAUCUUUGUGAUGAGUACAUAAAGGUUGGCAAGCGCACUGCGAUCGAAAGCUUGAAGAGAUUUUGUGAUGCUGUAAUUGCAUUGUAUGCGAAGCAGUACCUACGCUCGCCAAACGAAAGCGACAUUGCACAUUUACUUCAAAAAGGGGAAGAAAGAGGAUUCCCAAGUAUGCUUGGCUCUAUAAAUUGUAUGCAUUGGGAAUGGAAGAAUUGCCCUAAAGGGUGGCAUGGCACACACAAGGGGAGAGGUCGUAAGCCUACCCUCAUAUUGGAAGCAGUUGCAUCAAAAAAUCUAUGGAUCUGGCAUACUUUCUUUGGUAUGGCUGGUUCACACAAUGACGUGAAUGUCUUAGAUCAUUCCCCAGUAUUCAAUCGUAUCAUUAAUGAUACAAUGCCUUUAGUUAAUUACGAGGUGAAUGGACAUCACCGUACGUUGCGGUAUUACCUAUCUGAUGGUAUAUACCCUAAGUAGGCAACUUUGAUUCAAAUCAUCCCGCACCCAACUACUGGAAAAGAGAAAUUGUUUGCUCAAAGACAAGAAGCCGUUAGGAAUGAUGUUGAACGUGCAUUUGGUGUGUUGCAGAUAAGGUAGGCUAUAACGCAUGGACCAGUAUAUUAUUGGAAGAAAGAAGACCUGAGCAAGAUAAUGAGAACGUGCAUCAUAUUGCACAACAUGAUCAUAAAAGACAAGGGCGACACUAACAUUUUGGAAUGGACACCUCCAAUGGAUGAGUCGGUCUACCUUCCACAGUACAAUCGAAAGAAAGAAGACCUGAGCAAGAUAAUGAGAACGUGCAUCAUAUUGCACAACAUGAUCAUAAAAGACAAGGGCGACACUAACAUUUUGGAAUGGACACCUCCAAUGGAUGAGUCGGUCUACCUUCCACAGUACAAUCGAGACCGAUCAUUUUUGGCAGCACACAUCUCCACUCGCCUUAGCAGGAUUCGCAAUGUAGAAAGCAAUGGAGAUCUCAGGAGAGAUCUUAUGGAGCAUUUGUGAAAUAAAUUUGGCAAUGAAGAGGUUUAACGAUAAUAUUGAGUAAAAUGUAUUUCUUCAUAUUAUAUGUUUGUGAUGAAUAAAAUAUUACUUUACAAAUUUUUUUUCUUAUAUAUUUGUUGACAAAUUUUAAAGAAAAAAAAAUCAAAAUCAUAAAAAAAAAAUUUACAAUAAAAUCAAAUUACAUAUAAAAGGAAAUAGUAACGAAAAAAAAAAUUAAAACCAUUUCUAACAAUAUGAUUUUUUUUUAAAAAAAUUCAUAUAUAUUUGUUGACAAAUUUUUUUAAAAAAAAUUUCAAGAGACGAAGAAAUACAAAUCAUAAAUAUUUAUUUCAAAAAAAAAAAAAUAAAUAAAAUAAUCAAAAUCAUAAAUAUUUUUUUUACAAUAAAAAUAAAUUACAUAUAAAAAGAAAUAGUAAAGAAAAAAACCAAAAGAAAAAAAACAAAGAGCCGUUGCAGCAGUGGUGGGCCUUGUUUGGCUCGCAAUAGCUUUGUUACCUGUUGCGAGGUCCUUUGCUAUUCUUCCUCUGGGUCCCACAAAUUGCUAGCCUUAUACCAAAGCAAACACUAGCAAUUCUAACUCCCUAGCUAGCAAUAAAGGCCUUAUACCGGUUGCUCUAAGUAGUUAGAUGAAGACAAACAACUUUUAUACCGUAUUCAUAAAUUGCUACAAGGACAUAUUAAGAAAUUCGUAUCAUACUAUUAUAAAAAAAAAUCAUAAAAAUUAACACUCUUAAAAAAUUAUAUAUUUUAAAAGCGACAUCUUUUACGGGACAGAGGAAAUAUAUAUAUAUAUACUCUUGGAACCUUUUUUAUUUUUCAUUUAAAAGGGCUUAAACAAGCCCAUCGUUCAACCUGACAGUAGUACAAAAAAAACUUUUUAAAAAAACUAGUGUACAUAAUUUUACCUUAUUCAUUCUACAAUGACAAUGGAUAUGUACACUAGUUUUAAGCCCUUUUAAAUGAAAAAUAAAAAAGGUUCCAAGUCCUCUGUAGGAGCAGUGUCUCAGUAACAUAUAUCGUAUAUGGUAUAUAGUAUAUAAUAUAUACUACAAUGACAAUGAAUAAGAUUAUUUAUACUUAGUUCAAUUAGUUGAAGAUCCUUUAAGAGACAAAGUUGUUUCCUGAUGAUUAGACAUAAUCCAUUGUCAUUGUAGAAUGAAUAAGGUAAAAUUAUGUACACUAGUUUUUUUUAAAAAGUUUUUUUUGUACUACU